rnacentral:tRNA from 1 species
GUGCCCAUAGCUCAGAUGGAUAGAGCGUUAGAUUGCGGAUCUAAAGGUCGGAGGUUCGAAUCCUCUUGGGCAUACCA